rnacentral:rRNA from 1 species
UCGUAACAAGGUUUCCGUAGGUGAACCUGCGGAAGGAUCAUUAUCGUACAAAAUGUGAGAGGGGCAUGCGAGGGCUGUCGCUGACUCAAAGUCGUGCACGCCCGAGUGUGUCGCCUCACAUAAUAAUCCAUCUCACCCUUUGUGCAUCACCGCGUGGGCACCCCUUUGGGAUCAUCUCGGAGGGGGCUCGCGUUUUCACACAAAACCCCCCUUUUAAAAGUGUAGAAUGACCUCAUUUAUGCGCUAACCCGCAAUCAAUACAACUUUCAACAACGGAUCUCUUGGCUCUCGCAUCGAUGAAGAACGCAGCGAAAUGCGAUACGUAAUGUGAAUUGCAGAAUUCAGUGAAUCAUCGAAUCUUUGAACGCACCUUGCGCCCCCUGGUAUUCCGAGGGGCACACCCGUUUGAGUGUCGUGAAAACCUCAACCUCCUUGGUUUCUUCUGGAGACCAAAGCAGGCUUGGACUUNUGGAGGCCUUUGCUGGCACCUCUCGCCAGCUCCUCUUAAAUGAAUUAGCAGGGUCCUCUUUGCUGAUCCUCGACGUGUGAUAAGAUGUUUCCAUGUCUUGGUUUCUGGCUCUGUCACCUUUGGGACCCGCUUCUAACCGUCUUCAACCUUGCGUUGAGACAACGUUCGAGCAUGUCUCCCUUCUCGGGAAGCUCCCUCGACCCCACGAACCCUUGACCUCAAAUCGGGUGAGACUACCCGCUGAACUUAAGCAUAUCAAUAAGCGGAGGAAAAGAAACUAACAAGGAUUCCCCUAGUAACUGCGAGUGAAGC